rnacentral:rRNA from 1 species
UGCGUAGGCGGAACGAUAAGUCAGUGGUGAAAUUCUGCAGCUUAACUGUAGACGUGCCAUUGAUACUGUCAGUCUUGAGUAUGGUCAAGGUAGGCGGAAUGUGUAAUGUAGCGGUGAAAUGCUUAGAUAUUACACAGAACACCGAUUGCGAAGGCAGCUUGCUGGGCCAUUACUGACGCUGAUGCACGAAAGCGUGGGGAUCGAACAGGAUUAGAUACCCUGGUAGUCC